rnacentral:rRNA from 1 species
GACGUAGGGUCCGAGCGUUUGUCCGGAAUUACUGGGCGUAAAGAGCUCGUAGGUGGUUUGUCGCGUUGUUCGUGAAAACUCACAGCUUAACUGUGGGCGUGCGGGCGAUACGGGCAGACUGGAGUACUGCAGGGGGAGACUGGAAUUCCUGGUGUAGCGGUGGAAUGCGCAGAUAUCAGGAGGAACACCGGGUGGGCGAAGGCGGGGUCUCUGGGCC